rnacentral:lncRNA from 1 species
UAUUCUUUUCUUUCAAUCAAUAUAAAUAAAAUAAAUCCCAAGACCCUUAAUUUUCCAAACCAAAAACCAAAAAGAAACCUUGUAACUUGUUCUUCUGCCCAUCAGCAUUGGCCAAGUCAUAAUCCCCAAAGGAUUUUAUUCAGAAUAAGGUUUGGCCUUGGACCUAUACACCAACUUCUUCUUCUUUGUGGUUUGGUUAUCAAUUGUUAAUACAAUUUUCCCAGGCUCACCCGUUUUGAAGCUGUUGGAGAUCACCGUUUCAUCGGCCGGACCCACUUUUCUCGUCUUCGAUACAAUCACGGUGUAUCCAUCUUCAGCUGUGGGCACAAAUUCAGCUCCAUAGUUCACGUCCCACCCCACAACUCGUACCUCCC